AUCAGAGAAGCGUAUUAAAUUUCUUGGGAAUAUUAGCAGAAAAUGAGGAAGAGAGGUGACCUGAUGCACUUAUAAGUGCAGAUAGGUAAAUCAUAAUAUUAUGAAGGCAAUGGAUAAGAGGAAGACCCGAGUAUGGUAUUGCGCAACACGCAUACACACACAAAAGAUUGACUGGAGACUCAGACAUAUCUCUA
ensembl:ncRNA T21B6.9 ncRNA